CCUACGGGAGGCAGCAGUGGGGAAUAUUGGGCAAUGGGCGCAAGCCUGACCCAGCAACGCCGCGUGAAGGAAGAAGGCUUUCGGGUUGUAAACUUCUUUUAAGAGGGAAGAGCAGAAGACGGUACCUCUUGAAUAAGCCACGGCUAACUACGUGCCAGCAGCCGCGGUAAUACGUAGGUGGCAAGCGUUGUCCGGAUUUACUGGGUGUAAAGGGCGUGCAGGCGGGAAGACAAGUCAGAUGUGAAAGCCCGCGGCUCAACCGCGGAACUGCAGUUGAAACUGUUUUUCUUGAGUACCGGAGAGGUCAUCGGAAUUCCUUGUGUAGCGGUGAAAUGCGUAGAUAUAAGGAAGAACACCAGUGGCGAAGGCGGAUGACUGGACGGCAACUGACGGUGAGGCGCGAAAGCGUGGGGAGCAAACAGGAUUAGAUACCCCAGUAGUC
rnacentral:rRNA from 1 species